GGCGGAGCCGGGAAGCGUUUCCGGGGGCGGGAGGCGCAGGCUGAGGCGGUCGCGGCGGCGACGGCUUGAACGGGCCUGACGCCGGUGGUGGAAAGUGUCCUGCGGGCGGGUUAUGUGAGCGCGGAGCCCUUAGCAGAAGUCAGUGCAAUUUUAAUUUGAAACAAAACUGAGAAUGGGUUCCCCUUCCUCAUUCAUCCAUACUGCUUUGUGAUGGCCAUGGCAUAACGGGCUUUUCCCAGGAAUACAGCUUUGCAUUAGCUUUAUCUUCGGAUUGAGUUCAUUUAAUAACAGGGACGAUAUUUACUAUGCUCUUUGGUCUAUAAACAACUUGGAGACCAUCAGAUAGAAGGAAUACCUUGCCUUCCCACUUAAUUCUGCUUCACAUCAGAGGCU
rnacentral:lncRNA from 1 species